AUUAAUUUAUUAAUUCCUCCUGUAACGAUAUUGAUUUUCUCUUCCAAAUCAAAAUCGGAGAACUCAAUUCGAUCAUCUGGUUUCUCGUUACUUUGUGUCUUCGAUUGCCUUGAAUUUGUUCCUCUCUUGAUUGGAUUUUUGUUCUAUCGGUGGAAAUCAGAUCUCAGCUCGGUUCGAUGUUAUCUUUUUCUAUCUUCAAAGCUUUCUCUUCUUCAGUACUCGAGAUUGUUUAGGUUUUGUACCGUAGAAAUUUCUUAAAUUUGUUGUGUUGAUGACUAAACUGCUCGAUAUCUAAGAAUGAUUUUAAAUUUCGUUUAAGGAUGAUGAUGAAUUCGCGAAGAAGUUUGAGGUAAGGUUCUCAGUGGUGAAUCUUCAAUUUCAGAAAGCAUAACUUGAGUUUAAGAGUUGGAUGGAGAUGCAGAGGAAGAGCAUAUUAAGGUGGGACACAGACGAUUAACGAAAUUCUAUAAUCCAGGAGUUUAUGUGGAUAGAUGACACAUGUAAGGAGAGAAGGCAGAAGCAAGAUUCAUCAAGAUUCAGGCUGUAUACGAACUGCUCAUGGACUCAGACAAAAGAAGACCAUAUGAUAUGGAUACCCAUGAAGAACUCAGAACUCAGUGAACGGACCGAAAGAUAAUCUUCAUAUCGUGACUACUGCUCUUUAAAUUCAUACUGGAUCAAACAACCAAUUCCAGGUGACCACCAUAGAUGGGAAUGUGAUCAAUGGAACACAAAAUUUAGCAAAAUGAUGCAGAAGAGUCAAUUUCCAAUUUCCACAAACAGACAGAAUGAUGCAGAAGUAGAAGCUGGCAAGAAUGUUACGACACAAUAGUAGAUUUAAUGAUUUUUUUUUUGGUUUUGUUUGAGUUUUGAAAUCACGAUUUAGAAUCUUAGAUCUUACGUUUUGUGUUUUAUCUGUAUAGUUGAUUGUUAAACUAUAAUUUUAUUAAUUUUUUUUGUCAAGUUUGA